UAGGGUGGUUAUAGCAUUGGGGCUCACCUCUUCCCAUCUCGAACAGAGAAGUUAAGCCCAAUAGCGCCGAUGGUACUGCAUUUAUGUGGGAGAGUAGGUCGCUGCCUUUC
rnacentral:rRNA from 4 species